rnacentral:lncRNA from 1 species
CGAAACAUUAGAAACCCUCAUCUUCUUCACCAAAAUUGAAAUCAAGCCUGGUCGUCGAAUUACCCUACGCCCAAUCAGACGAGUUCCCCCUUGUCACUAUUAAAAUUCAUUAUUUUUCAUUUGAAAUUGUUGUUGGGUAUUAUUGUUUUGGAGAAGAAAUGAAGGAGAAGGUUGAAAGAAGUGCUUCGAUGGUGGAAAAAAAGAACUUUUGUUUAGAGAUAAGUGAAGAAAAAGAAGAAGAUACUUUUUUUUUUUACUUUUCUAUGCUCAAAGAUAGGAAAAGGGGUGUUUAGAAGGG